rnacentral:rRNA from 1 species
CCUACGGGGGGCAGCAGUAGGGAAUCUUCGGCAAUGGACGGAAGUCUGACCGAGCAACGCCGCGUGAGUGAAGAAGGUUUUCGGAUCGUAAAGCUCUGUUGUAAGAGAAGAACGAGUGUGAGAGUGGAAAGUUCACACUGUGACGGUAUCUUACCAGAAAGGGACGGCUAACUACGUGCCAGCAGCCGCGGUAAUACGUAGGUCCCGAGCGUUGUCCGGAUUUAUUGGGCGUAAAGCGAGCGCAGGCGGUUAGAUAAGUCUGAAGUUAAAGGCUGUGGCUUAACCAUAGUACGCUUUGGAAACUGUUUAACUUGAGUGCAAGAGGGGAGAGUGGAAUUCCAUGUGUAGCGGUGAAAUGCGUAGAUAUAUGGAGGAACACCGGUGGCGAAAGCGGCUCUCUGGCUUGUAACUGACGCUGAGGCUCGAAAGCGUGGGGAGCAAACAGGAUUAGAUACCCGUGUAGUC